rnacentral:rRNA from 1 species
GAUUAACGCUGGCGGCGUGCAUAACACAUGCAAGUCGAACGAUGAAACUUUAAUGAACCCUUCGGGGAGAAUUAAAGCGGAUUAGUGGCGAACGGGUGAGUAACGCGUGAGUAACCUGCCUUACACAAGGGGAUAGCCUUUGGAAACGAAGAAUAAUACCCUAUAACACCAUAAAAGCACAUGCAAUUAUGGUCAAAGUGAUAGCGGUGUAAGAUGGACUUGCGUCUGAUUAGCUAGUUGGUGAGAUAAAAGCCCACCAAGUCAACGAUCAGUAGCCGGCUUGAGAGAGUGUACGGCCACAUUGGGACUGAGACACGGCCCAGACUCCUACGGGAGGCAGCAGUGGGGAAUUUUGCACAAUGGGGGAAACCCUGAUGCAGCGACGCCGCGUGAUUUAGAAGGCCUUCGGGUUGUAAAAAUCUUUUGUAUAGGAAGAAAAUGACAGUACUAUACGAAUAAGGUCCGGCUAAUUACGUG